rnacentral:lncRNA from 1 species
GCAGAGUUUGUGAGUGGUCAGCCUGGGGACAGUGAGACUGAGAUGCGCGUUCACGAGACUACUCCAUUUUUUUCUUUCAGCCUUUGAAUGAAUACAACGUUGCCCGGUUGGAAUAUUAUCGCUAUUUUAUGAGAAAAAUAGCAUAAAAAUUGAUUUUAAACAGCGUUUGACAUGCUUCUAAGUACGGAAUAUUUUGAAUUUUCUUGUCACGAAAUGCGCUCGUGCGUCACCCUUUCGGAUAGUGACCUGAACGCACAAACAAAACGGAGCUAUUUGAAUAUAACUAUGGAUUAUUUGGAACCAAAACAACAUUUGUUGUUGAAGUAGAAGUCCUGGGAAUCCAUUCUGAUGAAGAACAGCAAAGGAAUCCUCCUGUAGAGCAGUGAUGUCUCAGGUUAGAGAUGUACCAAGUUAAGUCUCCAGCAGGACAAGUUGACUGUGGAAACCUCUGCAGCUGACACCAGCUCUUCCCAGAAGGAUUAUAAGCAAAAAGGUCUUCCCACAUUACAUAAAGGCAGAAUGGGAAACACAACGGUUCCCAGUUUAGUCAUGAACCCUUUUGCAGAAACAGAGAACGUAUGACAAUAAACAGACCUGGUGUUAUUGUAUCAGUGAGUCGUAAAGAUAUUCUCAGGUACUUUUGUAAAAAAUACAUUUCCAGUAUUUCUGCAAGUAGUGCUCAAAAGCCAAAGGUGGUCCCGACAAUUGCUUCCUACAGCACAUAUGUGCAGAUAUGAGCACCAUGUAAUUGCGCUCUCUCUCUCUGCUGUGUCCACUGAGCUGUUUGACCUGCCCUGCAACCUCAUUGGAUAACGUUGGGCAGGCCUCUUACUAGAGCUGAAGCUCAUUGGCUAGAACUCGAAUUGCCCACGUGGGGGGAAAUGUAGGGAAAAUGGCACAGCACAGCUUCAAGAAAACAGUCGCUUUAAAACUGGGGAUUUCGUGGCUAAUUGAAGGAACUUGAUUGAGGAUGUAUUCACUUCUGCAACAUCGGGCUUAGGAAGAGUUGCAAGAAAGAGGAACACUGUGACGGAUCUACCGGGGCUGAGAGCGUAUUUAUCCCCAGAUGAGAUGAGUUCACGGCAAAAAGCAUUCCCAAGACGUCAUUGCAACGUCACCUCCGCCCAACCACCAUCAUUCCUCUGCAGACCCCUAGCAAAUAAACACAUGGACAUUCCUCAUUUUGGACUGAGCUCCCUGAGAGGAGUGCCACAGGGGUUUCAUCGAACGUCAGCUAGCCCACUACAUUCCUCUGGGGGAUUUAGAGGUGUUGGCGGCAUGAAGAUGGAUGAACGUCAGAGGUUUUCCACCCCAGAUUGCUAAACGCAGACUGUUAACAUCAAUCUCAGUUAAUCUGAUCUGAAACACUCAAAUAGUCUACACCCAGGUAGAGACUACAGAUAGAAGCUCUCU